GUGGGGAAUCUUAGACAAUGGGGGAAACCCUGAUCUAGCCAUGCCGCGUGAGCGAUGAAGGCCUUAGGGUUGUAAAGCUCUUUCAGAUGGGAAGAUAAUGACGGUACCAUCAGAAGAAGCCCCGGCUAACUCCGUGCCAGCAGCCGCGGUAAUACGGAGGGGGCUAGCGUUGUUCGGAAUUACUGGGCGUAAAGCGCACGUAGGCGGACCAGAAAGUCAGAGGUGAAAUCCCAGGGCUCAACCUUGGAACUGCCUUUGAAACUCCUGGUCUUGAGGUCGAGAGAGGUGAGUGGAAUUCCGAGUGUAGAGGUGAAAUUCGUAGAUAUUCGGAGGAACACCAGUGGCGAAGGCGGCUCACUGGCUCGAUACUGACGCUGAGGUGCGAAAGCGUGGGGAGCAAACAGGAUUAGAAACCCGUGUAGUCC
rnacentral:rRNA from 1 species